rnacentral:rRNA from 1 species
GAUGAACGCUGGCGGCGUGCCUAAUACAUGCAAGUCGAGCGAACGGACGAGAAGCUUGCUUCUCUGAUGUUAGCGGCGGACGGGUGAGUAACACGUGGAUAACCUACCUAUAAGACUGGGAUAACUUCGGGAAACCGGAGCUAAUACCGGAUAAUAUUUUGAACCGCAUGGUUCAAAAGUGAAAGACGGUCUUGCUGUCACUUAUAGAUGGAUCCGCGCUACAUUAGCUAGUUGGUAAGGUAACGGCUUACCAAGGCAACGAUGCAUAGCCGACCUGAGAGGGUGAUCGGCCACACUGGAACUGAGACACGGUCCAGACUCCUACGGGAGGCAGCAGUAGGGAAUCUUCCGCAAUGGGCGAAAGCCUGACGGAGCAACGCCGCGUGAGUGAUGAAGGUCUUCGGAUCGUAAAACUCUGUUAUUAGGGAAGAACAUAUGUGUGAGUAACUGUGCACAUCUUGACGGUACCUAAUCAGAAAGCCACGGCUAACUACGUG